CUUAUCAUGGUUGCUUGAUUUUGAUGGGAAAUAGGAAGUAAAGCCCUGUGUUUUGAACUAUUGAUCAAAAACCCUUGGUUCGUCCAAGGUAAGCUACUAUUGGGUUUCUAGUUAUGUGUGGAGGGUUUCUCUCCACUUGUACUCCCCAAAUCAAAAACCCUUGGUCCGUCCAAGGUAAGCUGAUGAUCCGUCUGAGAUCAAUCCGUCUAAACCGAAACAAGCUCGGUCUGGCGCAAGAGAAGAGAGAUUUCCUUCUCUCUGAAUGCCAAACAGAAUGGACAAACCAAACCAACUGGGAUUUCGAAACGGACCAAUCAACACAGCUGGAGAUUCCAGACAUUAAACAAAUGGAUAAUUACACUUAGUGCCUGAACGAUGGUUUAGACAACAACAUUUGCGCCUAAAAGUCAAUGUCUAGUAAUUGCUAUGUGCAAUUCGGGACAUUGACAAACGUAAAUGCAUAGUCAACUACAUGGUCUAAGACUCUUGCUCGACAACUAGUAAAUGGCACUAGUCAACGGAUUUUUUUUGUUGUGAUUGCCCAAUCCGCGCAGAGAUGAUGACAUUGACUCUCUUGCUAAGACUUGAUUUCCGCCCUAAUGGCAAUCAUCAUUACAAAAAAGGCAUGAAUGCACCAUCAGCGCUAUGGCGAUGGUGUCAUUUGCUCUAUAAAAACCCCUCGAGAAGCAUGAAAAAGGUACGCUCGUACAGAACCAUUCGAAAUAAUUGGAUUCAUUCUCAUUACUUUCUGACUUAAGCUUCGGAGGAGCGUGCCCGGACCACUUGUCCGGACAUCCUUUUGUGUAGGGAAGAAGUUUGUCUGACUCUAGGGGAGCUAGACUAACCCAAAUCCGGUUGGCACUACACCAACAUUGGCGCCAUCUGUGGAAACCGAAGAAACUAAGGAUGUCAACACCCUCCAGAAGCCAAUCAUCAGCUAUGGGUGGCAAGGAUUAUUUUGUAUGGCGUAAAAGGAUGGAGAGACGUCAACGAGAAAAUGAUCGGCAGAUAUAGACUCUGCUCUGUCAAAUGAAAUGACUCAAAGAAGAGAAUGAAGAAUUGCGGGCUCAAGUAUCAACAGUGGGUCCAUCUCAAAGUUGGCACACUCAAAGUCGACAAAUUACCUCGAGACAGAUUGUUGAGGCAUCUUACCCCGGGGACACAAAGUUCUCCUCUGGCAAUUAUUCAAGACAAUCCAAGGAGGAAACUUUGCUAGGUCACCAACUGCAAUCGGAGCUUGCCUCAAUGUCCCUUCCUGACGUUUUCUCUCCCAAUCCUCUAGACGAGCCUGGCGUGCCUCAAAAUCUGCUAAACGAGCAAUCUCAUAGAAAAGCAAAUCCUUCAGCACGAAGUGUUCACUAAGCACUAGAGACGGAGGAGCUAGCCGGGGAAAUACGAGGAUGAUAAACGGUUUAGGAUUGUUGAUCAGCGCUAGCAAGUUCUUGUCCGAUAAAAAAACCUUGUAAGCUCGUUCGACUGUGUCUAUCUCGAAUAGCUUGUUGAGUCAAGCGAAUGAAGCUUUUUCCACCCACUCUACAAGGUGUUCCCGCCUCUUCUUGCCUAUAUUGGACAAACAGAAAGAUCAUGAGUAAAUUUACAGCAAGGAAGAAAUGACAGUAAGAUAUAAAGAAAGUGACAAACUCCUUGCUUAUAUUACACAAACAAAAAGAUCGUGAGUAAAUUUACAGCAAAGAAGAAAUGAUAGCAAGAUAUAAAGAAAGUGACAGAAACGUGGCCUACUCGGAAUCUCCAACAAACGUUGUGGAGAAAAAACUCCAUCCGGUCCCUCGGAUGAACCACUCCAAGGACGGGAUACUAGAACAUGCCCCUUGGCCCAGCUUUUGCAUGAAUUUGGAAGACCAAUCAUCAGUUGGAGGGAAGGAAUAUAGGUAGAUAAGCUGAACCUUUCUUUCUGGCUCAUCUUGAUAGUAUAAAUGAACAAGACUUCCAGUAGGGAAAGAUCCAGCUAGAAGAGCAUGUCCAACACAUUACACCCCAUUAACACCCAGACAACAUUUGGAUGAAGAAAAGCUAGAGGGAUUUAUGUGAAAUGAAGGAAUUGUUUGAAGAAAGAAGGGAUAGGUAAAUGGAGCCCAACAGCGAAUUGCUCCUUGGUAAAAUACAUCAUGUUACUGGUAAAGUCAGCAAAGGAUAGAGCCUCGUCAUCUGUUAGUUGAAUUGGGAUAUUGUCCGAAAUAUGAAAACGGGUCUAGAAUUCCCUUUCAGAUAGGACACCAACUGGACGCUCUGAUCUGAGGCGCCCGACUCUAGUGUUUUUCCAUCCACUUUGUUGAGGUUUUCGCUAGUAGACGCGACUCCUCUUCUUGCCAUUAUGCUAAGUGGAUUUGGGUCAUGUGGAAACCUGUGCAGGUCAACGCAGUUAUCAGGACCAAUCACCUGACCCAUCCACCGUUUAGUGUUGCCUCAGCAAUACAAAAAUGAACCUAAAUGGACCACAAGCCCGAAACUAGACAGAUUUGGCUAUCAAAACUUGCAGAGCAAGUCUCUUAGCCAAUGACUAAGGAAGAAUUGCUCCCACCGCCCCAAUGCAAUGACAACGAAAAACAUGAACCAACGACAAAAACACAAAUGCACUAACAACACAAGAACAAAAGAGGAAACCGAAAAGCCCUAAAUCCGGCCGUUGGCACAUCCAUCCUCUUUCAAACAAAGCACCCAGAACAAGCAAAGACAUUGAGAAACCCUAAAUCUGGACGCCAAGGUGUCCAUUUUCUCUCUAACCAAACAACCGUCGACACGGUCCAAAGAAGAACAACAAGCAUUGCAAAAGGAAAAGUGAGCGAUGGAAAACUUACCAGAGUCAGGAAUGAACACUCUCUAGUGGGAAAGAAAUCCACCGGAAGCAAGUCUAAGGCCGGUGAGAGCAGCGACCGAUGGGGCGGCGGAGGUGCAACGCAGGUAGGAAAACUCCAAAGCAGGAAAAGGCCAAAAGGUGACCCAAAAAGUAUGGAGCUCCGCUAUUUAUAGGGAUCCAAAAACCUAGGUAUUCCAAAGGACAAGCCACUUGGAAACGUUUUCCAAAGCCAAAUGAAGAGACAUGCUACCUCACAACCAACCUUGAUUGAUGUGACCCAUCAUUGCAGCCCCAAAUGACACGUGUUCCUAGGCACCUAGAUAACUUGAAGAAACAAAUAAUCUGUUCUACUUCAACCUGCUAGCUACCCGACCGGAUAGAAGCAGACAGAUUAAGGGGGCAUUGUGGGGGGUUUCCCUUCACAUGUCCUCCCCUAAAUCAAAAACCCUUGGUCCGUCCAAGGUAAGCUAAUGAUCCUUCUGAGAUCAAUCUGUCUAAAUUGAAAUAAGCUUUGUCUAGAUCAAGAGGAGAUAGAUUUUCUUCUUUCUAAAUGUCAGACGAAAUGGACAAACUAAGCCAACUGGGAUUUCCAAACGGACCAACCAACACAGUCGGAGAUUCCAGACAUUGAAUAAAUUGAUAAUCACACCUAGUGCCUGAGUGACGACAUUUGCACCUAAAAGUCAAUGUCUAGUAAUUGUUACGCGCAAUCAGCGACAUUGACAAAUGUAAAUGCAUAGUCAAUCACAUGGUUCAAGACUCUUGUUCGACAGCCAACAAAUGACACCAAUCUGCGGAUUUUGUUUGGUGUGAUUGCCCAAUCGCGCAGAGAUGAUGGCAUUGAUUCUCUUUCUAAGGUUUGAUUUCCACCUUGAUGGCAAUCAUCAUCACAAAAAAGGCAUGAAUGCACCAUCAGCGCUAUGGCAAUGGUGCCAUCCACUCUAUAAAAACCCCUUGAGAAGCAAGAAAAAGGGAAGAAGUCCAUCUGACUUUAGGGAAGCUAAACAGACCCAAAUCCGAUUGGCACUGCACCAACAAUGUGCUAAUAUUUUUCCUAUGUAUGAAAUUUUUAUUUGUUAGUUCUUAUCUGGGAUCAUGUUUUGGAGGUAUUUGUGUUUUUUGGAAAGUGAGAAAAGUCAAUGUAGUUCCUUCUUCUU